AGAGUUUGAUCUUGGCUCAGAGUUAACGCUGGCGGCGUGCCUAACACAUGCAAGUUGAGCGGUUGUCAAUUGUGUAGCAAUACAUGAUUGAUGAUAGCAGCAAACGGGUGAGUAUCACGUAGGAAAUCUACCCUUGAGAGGGGAAUAACCCACCGAAAGGUGAGCUAAUACCCCAUAAUAUACUGUUUUGUUUGCAAAAUAGUAUCAAAGCAGCAAUGCACUUGAGGAUGAUCCUGCGUUCUAUCAGCUAGUUGGUGAGGUAAUGGCUCACCAAGGCUACGACGGAUAGCCGGCCUUAAAGGGUGGUCGGCCACAAUGGCACUGAGACACGGGCCAUACUCCUACGGGAGGCAGCAGUGAGGAAUUUUGGACAAUGGGGGCAACCCUGAUCCAGCGACGCCGCGUGAAGGAUGAAGGUUUUCGGAUUGUAAACUUCUUUUAGAGGGGAAGAAAUGCCCGCAAGGGAGUUGACUGUACCCUCAGAAAAAGCCACGGCUAACUACGUGCCAGCAGCCGCGGUAAUACGUAGGUGGCAAGCGUUACUCGGAAUUACUAGGCGUAAAGCGCGUGUAGAUGGUUUAAUAAGUCGGACGUGAAAGCUCUUGGCUCAACUGGGAGAGGUCGUUCGAUACUAUUAGGCUUGAGUGUGGGAGGGGAAUCUGGAAUUCCUGGUGUAGCGGUGAAAUGCGUAGAUAUCAGGAGGAAUACCGAUGGCGAAGGCAGGAUUCUGGCCCAUUACUGACAUUGAGACGCGACAGCUAGGGGAGCAAACAGGAUUAGAUACCCUGGUAGUCCUAGCCGUAAACGAUGUUCAUUAGGUGCGGGAGGUAUCGACCCCUUCCACGCCGAAGCUAACGCAUUAAAUGAACCGCCUGGGGAGUACGGCCGCAAGGUUGAAACUCAAAGGAAUUGACGGGGGCCCGCACAAGCGGUGGAGUAUGUGGUUUAAUUCGACGCAACGCGAAGAACCUUACCUGGGCUUGAACCGUUGGUUGUAAAACCUCGAAAGAGGGAUGACCCGCAAGGGAGCCAAUAGAGGUGCUGCAUGGUUGUCGUCAGCUCGUGUCGUGAGAUGUUGGGUUAAGUCCCGCAACGAGCGCAACCCUUAUCCUAUGUUGCUACCUAUUGUUUUUAAUAAUGGGGCACUCUUAGGAGACUGCCACGGAUAACGUGGAGGAAGGUGGGGACGACGUCAAAUCAUCAUGGCCCUUAUGUCCAGGGCUACACACGUACUACAAUGGCCGGUACAGAGGGAAGCAAGACGGUAACGUGGAGCAAAUCCCCAAAACCGGCCUCAGUUCGGAUUGUGGGCUGCAACUCGCCCACAUGAAGGAGGAAUCGCUAGUAAUCGCAGAUCAGCACGCUGCGGUGAAUACGUUCCCGGGCCUUGUACACACCGCCCGUCACACCACGAAAGUCCGUUGCAACAGAAGUCGACAUGCUAACCCGCAAGGGAGGCAGUCGCCCAAGUUGUGGCUGGUGAUUGGGGUGAAGUCGUAACAAGGUA
rnacentral:rRNA from 1 species